rnacentral:rRNA from 3 species
AAAACGACUCUCGGCAACGGAUAUCUCGGCUCUCGCAUCGAUGAAGAACGUAGCGAAAUGCGAUACUUGGUGUGAAUUGCAGAAUCCCGCGAACCAUCGAGUCUUUGAACGCAAGUUGCGCCCGAAGCCAUCAGGCCGAGGGCACGUCUGCCUGGGCGUCACGC